UUAUGUGAUCGUCUCUCGCAUAUCAAUAAGCGGAGGAAAAGAAACUAACAAGGAUUCCCCUAGUAACGGCGAGUGAAGCGGGAAGAGCUCAAAUUUGAAAUCUUAAAGGGUUUCCCUUUACGAAUUGUAGUUUAAAGAAGUGUUUUCUGUUGAGGUUUUGGUAAAAGUUCUUUGGAAUAGGACAGUCAUAGAGGGUGAGAAUCCCGUAUUUGACCUUUACUUUCAACUUUGUGAUACACUUUCAAAGAGUCGGAUUGUUUGGGAAUGCAGUCCAAAAUGGGUGGUAAAUUUCAUCUAAAGCUAAAUAUUGGCGAGAGACCGAUAGCGAACAAGUACCGUGAGGGAAAGAUGAAAAGAACUUUGAAAAGAGAGUUAAACAGUACGUGAAAUUGUCAAAAGGGAAGCGUUUGACACCAGUGUUGUUUUUCUGAAAAUCAAUUAAAGAACUGUUUAUGCUAAGUUGUUUAGACUUUAUCAGCUAACUGUUUAGUUUUGAGCUUUUCUUUAAUGCACUUUUCAGUUAACAAGUCAACAUCAAUUUCUUUUGCUGUAAAAAAGCUUGAGGAAGGUGGCUUGAGAUUCGUCUUAAGUGUUUAUAGCCUCUUGCCUAUGCAGUCGGAGAGAUUGAGGUCUGCAGCGUAGAUCCUUCGGGGCUAAAUGCAUUUGUGCUAAGUUAUAGCAUUUUAUAGACAACUUGUUGACUAUGAUUUGUCUUGUAGCUUACUCGCUUAUGUUAUUUUACCUACGCUUAGGAUGUUGAUCUACAGAGCGAGAGU
rnacentral:rRNA from 1 species